rnacentral:rRNA from 1 species
UUUGAGUUUGAUGAUGGCUCUGAUUGAACGCUGUCCAAAUGCUUGACACAUGCUAAUCGUACGACAUUCAAUAAAAUUAAAAAAUUAUAUGUGGAUGUAGUGGUGUACAGGUGAGUAAUAGAUAUUGUAGCUGCCUUAAAGUAAGGGUAAAGAUCCCUUAUAGAGUAAUAAAAAAAAUUACAAAAGAUAAGUUAAUUCGCUUUAAGAUGCUUUCAAUAUCAUCGGGUAAGUAGUAGUUAAAGUAAUUGUUUAACUAGCUUAAGCUCGUAGUCGAAACUGAGAGGUUGAUCGACCACAUUGGGUCUGAAAAAACCCCAAUACGUAUAGUACAGCAGUGAGGAAUAUUGGUCAAUAGCCUAACGGCUGAACCAGCAACUUGGAGGAUUAAAGGGUACCUAGACGAUAUAUCCCGCCCAAAAAUAUUUAUGGGGACAGAUAUACUAGAGUUUUAUGUAAGAGGAAAAUUUAGAGCUAUUGGAGUAGAGAUAAAAUAUUUUGAUACCAAUGGAACUGAUACGUGAAGACAGACCUUUAUGUAAAAACUGACGUUGAGGGACGAAGGCUUGGGUAGCGAAUAGGAUUAGAUACCCCAGUAGUCCAGGCAGACAAUUAUGAAUGUUAUAUGCUACAUUGUAAAUGUAGUGUAUUAAUGAAAGUGUAAGCAUUCCACCUCAAGAGUAAUGCGGCAACGCAGGAACUGAAAUCAUUAGACCGUUUCUGAAACCAGUAGUGAAGUAUGUUAUUUAAUUCGAUAACCCUCGAAAAACCUUACCACAAUUUGAAUGUUACUUUCUUAAGUAAUACAAGUGUUGCACGGCUGUCUUCAGUUAAUGUCGUGAGAUUUUGAUUAGGUUCAUUAAAUUAGCGAAAACCCUUGCUUUAUUUCUAAUUAAACUUAUCUUUACUUUUCUUUUUAACACUAUAAAAAACGUUAAAACUAGAAAAUAUUGUAAUAGUGUUAUACAAUAAAGUAGUUCAGCCUACAGGGCGUAUGAUAAUAGGGAUCAAGACAAGUCAUCAUGACCUAGAUAUUGUGGGCUAUAGACGUGCCACAUGUGCCUGUACAAAGAGAGGCAAAAAUGCGAAUUUGAGCUAAUCUCUAGAAUAGGAUAUAAUAUGAAUUGUAGCCUGAAACUCGGCUGCAUGAAAAAGGAAUUACUAGUAAUCGUGAAUCACCAC